GAUGAACGCUGGCGGCGUGCCUAAUACAUGCAAGUCGAGCGAACAGACGAGGAGCUUGCUCCUCUGACGUUAGCGGCGGACGGGUGAGUAACACGUGGAUAACCUACCUAUAAGACUGGGAUAACUUCGGGAAACCGGAGCUAAUACCGGAUAAUAUAUUGAACCGCAUGGUUCAAUAGUGAAAGACGGUUUUGCUGUCACUUAUAGAUGGAUCCGCGCCGCAUUAGCUAGUUGGUAAGGUAACGGCUUACCAAGGCGACGAUGCGUAGCCGACCUGAGAGGGUCGAUGGGCAGCCGGGAAGUGAGGCACGGUCCAGACUCCUACGGUAGGCAGCAGUAGGGAAUCUUACGCGAUGGGGGAGAGCCGGACGGAGCGACGCCGCGUGAGGGAUGAAGGUCUUCGGAUGGGAAAACUCUGUUGUUAGGGAAGAAGAAAUGUGUUUGUAACUAUGCACGUCUUGACGGUACCUGAUCAGAAAGCCACGGCUAACUACGUG
rnacentral:rRNA from 1 species